AUGGUGAAAACAAUAACAACCGUAUUUAUAUUGCGUUAAUGCAAAAAAUAGGCCUAAAUAUAGUUAUUUCUGCUUCUGUAAAUUCACAACUUAAUAUGGAUCGGUUGGAAAUUAAAAGAAGAAUAUAAUAUGAUGACAGGAGGAAAGAAAAGGGCUAAAUUGGUGUAGUGUGUCAAUGCCAAGCACUAACCGCGUGGAUAAGCACUGGGCGUUGUCCUAGAAAUGAGAAUGUACCAAUUGCUAAGUCAAACUAUUAAAGCUCUGUUUGGUAUAUGAAGGACUAGGAGAAUGGGACUAGUUUUGAGAUUGAGUAAUCUCAUCUUUUUAUGCUUUAUGUUUGGUAUAAAAGACUCAAUAUUUCAAUAUUAAUGCCAAUGCUACCUUAUAUGAGAUUACCUCGGUAUUGCAAAAUUAGUCUAGGGAUUGAUUUUUCUAUGAUCAAAAUACCCUUUCAACCUCUACCUCCCUCCUUCCCACGCACCGAGAUGAAUCCCACUUUGUCCAGAUCUUGGUGCUAGGAUUGUAGAACCCAUGCUUCGGCCAAAGGUUCUUCUUGUCCAAAUCAGCCGGAAUGACGUCGAUGAUUUGCAGAAGCAAGCUCCGAUGCUCACACAUGGGAUUAACUUUCGUUUUCAACCCAUUGAGAAGCUUCCGAAGAUGCGACGCAAAUCGUCUCCCUUCCUCCACUUCUUCAUCUCGUCGAAAGUCGUUCGUGCCGCCGCCUCCUUCGCAAGUCAUCUCCCUCCCUCCAGAUCCCAUCUCCAUCAUUUUUGCAUCUCCUCCCUUCUCCCUCCAUCUACCUCCCUCUAGAUCGCAUUUGUUUUGAGAUUGAUGGCGUCCAGAUCUGGUUCAUGAGUUUGAUGACAUUCCAAAUCUGGUUCUCAGGAGAACGGUCAUUCGCGAACAGAGGAAGAAAGUCGAAUGCUCCCUCUACUUCUCUUUACAGGAUAAAGACAUGCCAUCUUUUUCUUUUCUGUUUAUAAGAAAUAACAUGGGUUUUGUUUUUAUCUCCUUUUAUAUUAAAAAGUUAAUAUAUAAUUUAGAUCAUAAAUUAUUGGUAUAGAGGUGAUUUAAAUUUUAAAUUUUUAUUUGAUAUGUUUUAAAUUCUGACCAAUUAAUAUUGAUACAAUUUCACCCUUAUCAUUAAAUUAAAACAAACAUUUAUUAUUUUUUCUUGCUGUUUCAGGCCUCAUAGUUUAACAAUAAUUAUUAUAGUAAACACUGUAUUUUGUCCGAGCAUAUUUUACAUUUAAUAAAAAUAAUAAUAAAUUCAAAAAAUUGAAACUUUUAAUAAUAUAGAUAAAAAAAUUAAUUAAUAGGGUUUAGUUCUAUUUUGUUGGUUAGGAUUUUAUUUUUUAGUUCAUUACAACAACUAAAAAUAUAAAAUAUAAAAAUAAAAUUUAAUUUUUUUAGAGGAUUAUUUUUUUAAAAAUAAUAAUAUUAAUAGAAUAAAGAAGAUAAAUAAGUUUAAUCUCUCCUCAGAAUCAAUUUUUUUUUUUUAAAUCUUGCUUAAAUCUUAAAAAAUCUUUCUCAAAUUAUCUCAACAAUCAGAAAAUUAUGAUAAUAAACUUCUUAAAAAUUAAAUAUUUUUAAAUUCUUGUAGAUCUAAUUGUCUUCCUUAUAUUUAUAUGUAUCUACAAAAAAAUAAUAAUAAUAAAAAUAAUUUAAAACUACAAAAAAAGAGUUAGGGUUGAAAAAAAUAUAUGAACUGAGAACCAUCAGCUCAGUCCUUUGUCUAGAUGUGCACACACAAGCAUUUCAAGAAGAAGCAAAGGCGAAACACAAAAAAAAAAAAAAGAAGAGCAAAAGAGAGAGACGCAGAGAGUAGACAAAAAACACAAAGUAAAGCAGCCGGACGCAGAGCAAGUGAUCGAGGUCCAUACACAGCACUUAAACAUAUGAAAAUGCAGCAAAAGAAAGGGAAAAAGCAAAAGAGAGAGAUGCAUGUGAUCAUGAAGAGCAUAACAGAGAUGACGAUUUGAGACUAAAGCGUGUAGCGAAGCAAAGGAAGCAACCGAAGACUGAUCGAAUCAAAAGUUUGAAGGUGAAGAAGACACUAUUCGACAUAUUUAUUUUUAAUGUUCAUCAAAGUUUUAUUGUGGGAUCGCUUCUGGGUUACUACUAUAUGAACAAGGAUGGAUUAUAUACCCUGUUCAUAUGAUUCGAUUACCUUGCUAUGUGGUGGAUAAAAUUUAGUCUCGAAUUAUGUUUUUGAUUCUAAUUAAGGGUUAUUGCAUAGUCUAAUAGCUAGCAAGUUGUUGAGGAGCUUCCAAGAUUUUUAUUAAAGGGUUGUCUAGAGUUGCCCAGUAAUAUAUAACCUUGUGUUAUUGUGUGCUUGAACAUGUAGUCUACAGGAAAUCAUUUUUUUGGGUUAGGUGUUGUGUAUUUAGGUUCUUAUUGCAAUAUAUAGUUUGACACUAAACAUUAAAA